GCUGAUCUGCAUUCUCCUGGAAAGACAAUGAAUCACAGCCACAGAACUGGUGCGGGUGUGCCUUGAGAGCUGCCACCUCCUUCUCUUCUCAUUUGCACCUAUUUCUGAGGUGCCAAGCUAGGGCCAGAGAACUGGUACUCUUGAUAAUAGCAAGAGGCCUUUUGCAGACCUGGAUUGGCUUCUGGAGUGUUCUACGGGUAAAUAAUUAGUGCUUCUCUCCAGUAAUCUAUGUUCCAAAGCUUCACACACCAGAAACAACAAAGACGUGGUCCUAUUCUGCAAGGAGAAGCCUGGAGAGAUCAGCACCCAGGAUCCAUGGAUUUCUGCGUCUGACACAGGGCACGUAUGCCAGCACCAUGGACAGCGUCAAUGGCUUGGCUCCCCUAUCCUGGAAUGUCUCAGCUGACAGCUUCUUUGUACAGAUAAAACGUCGAUGAUAUGGUUAUCUAAACAAGAAUUCAAGAAUGGCAACACCAGAUGACAUCCUGGAGGGGAUGGGGAACUCUCACAAGACUCUGCCCCUAGAUGGAGAGCUUCAGACAGUUAAAGACUGCCGACCGAGGGGGAAUUAGUAUUCCCAGGAGGAAGCAGCAUUACCAGGCCACAGAAGAAGACAAUGCAGCCACUCCUGAUGAGACCUAAUUGACUAGGAUCAGAAGGAAGGAAAAGAAGUCCUCCCCUAUCAGUGGACUUGGGGAGGGGCAUGCAUGCAGAGGGUGGAGGAAGGGAGGGAUUGGGAUGGGAGGAGGGAGGGAACCACG